ensembl:lncRNA
CACUGAGAGACGCAGCAAUGCUAUACGGUUCGUCAUUUGGCUGCUUGUACCAAAGAAAAAAUACACCAGUGUUCCAGAGAAAGAGGAAGAGAAAGUAACAUAAAGUGUGCGUGUGUGUGGGUGUCACGCUGUGGUUCACUUCAUGUUAUAUUUUGUAGUUUUCUGCCACUCGUGUCCCCGGGUAACUUCACUUCCUGCCUUGUCAUGUCAUCCCCUGUGUGCAACAGCGACUCCGGGGGCUUCCCGCUCCCUCCAGCUGGCAACUCCGGCUUCCUGCAUCCUCACGCCGACAACCGCGGUGGUGUUCCGUGUCCCCGAGCCGGCGACGGCCGCGGUGGUGUUCAGUGUCCCCGAGCCGCCGCCGACUACUGCGGAGGUGUUCCGUGUCCCCGAGCUGGAGCCGCCGCCGACUACUGCGGACGUGUUCCGUGUCCCCGAGCUGGAGCCGACUGCGGAGGUGUUCCGUGUCCCCGAGCUGGAGCCGGCCGCGGAGGUGUUCCGUGUCCCCGAGCUGGAGCCGACCUCAGAGGUGUUCCGUGUCCCCGAGCUGGAGCCGACCGCGGAGGUGUUCCGUGUCCCCGAGCUGGAGCCGACCGCGGAGGUGUUCCGUGUCCCCGAGCUGGAGCCGACCGCGCCGGUGUUCCGUGCCCCCGAGCUACCGACGACCCCGGACGUGUUCCGUGUCCCCGAGCUGGAGCCGCCGCAGACUACUGCGGACGUGUUCAGUGUCCCCGAGCCGCCACCGCCGCAGACUACUGCGGACGUAUUCAGUGUCCCCGAGCCGCCACCGACGACCGCGCCCGUGUUCCGUGCCCGCGAGCUGCCACCGACGACCGCGCCCCGUGUUUCCGUGCCCCGGAGCCGCCACCGACGACCGCGCCCGUGUUCCGUGCCCCCGAGCCGCCAUCGACGACCGCGCCCGUGUUCCGGGCCCCCGAGCCACCGAGGACCCCGGAGGUUUCCCGUGUCUCCGAGCCACCCAUUCCAGAGACGUUCCCUGCCCUGCAGGUCGGCGCUCCGGAGCCGGCCUGGUGACCGUCCGCCGGGCCGACCCCCAGAGGCUCCCCGCUCGUCUGGCCGCCCGCCGGGCCGCCCGCCAGAGUUUCCCGGGUGGUCCGACCAACGUCUCUGAUGUGAGCCGUCUGGAAUUUGGCCCUUGAGGGGGGGGGGGGGGGUACUGUCACGGUGUGGUUCACUUCAUGUUAUAUUUUGUAGUUUUCUGCCACUCGUGUCCCCGGGUAACUUCACUUCCUGCCUUGUCAUGUCAUCCCCUGUGAGCGUCUAAUAGUUUCCACCUGUGUCCAAUCACUUGCACCUCCCUAGUGUAUUUAAGCCAUGUGUGUCGGUUGUCGCGUCAUUGUCUUUGGCCACGCAUGUCCUUGUCUAUCGUCGUGGAUUUUCAUAGUUUCCUGCCUGCUGUUUUUCCCCCUGGUUCCUGUGUGUUUUUGCCCCUUGGCCUUUUGAUUUUGCUUUUGACUAUUAAAAGUCCCUUUUGUUUUUGAACUCUGCGUCUGAGUCCUACCUCCCGCAGUGUGUGUGUGUGUGCGCCUUUUUUAAACAUCCACAGGAUGUCAAAGUUAAGGAAGUUUUCUUUUUGAGCGUGACUGAGUGAUGGAUUAGUAAAUAGAUGUUUCAACAGCCCUUUACAGAGCUGUGGUCUUUGUGAUGGUCACAGAUGUGCUCAGCAAUGCACUUAUGAGUCACCCCCUAUAACUAAAUGCAAUGAUGACUCAUUUUCUUUGGUACAUGAAUCAAGGACCUUAAGUGGUUUUGCUUUUAAUUAGCACUCUGAGUGUUUCCAGUCAUGGUGGAAGUAAAUGGAAAAUUAGAUGAAAGAGCAAAGGUUAAAUACAAGUGUCGUAUUAAUUUUGGAUUGUACAAUUGGAUCGUUCCAAUUUUACUUCAAUUUUUCUUCAACUUAAAACUCUGUGGGAACCAAAAAUGUCCGUACCUUGCUCAUGGAAGACAACUCAAUUAAUAACCACCCAACCUGGUGGUGGUUCUAUCUGAUGGUGGUUGCCCCUGCAGUGGUCCUGCUGUGCGCCUGGCUUACUACUCACAAUUAUUUGAAUCAUUUCUGUCAUGGGAAUUGCAUGUAUUAUACAUUGUUCAUUCUGUACACAUGGCAUCCAUUGUAGUCUGUCCAUCCCGGGAGUGGGAUCCUUCUGACGUUCUCCCUAAGGUUUCUUCCCUUUUUUCCCUCUUGGAAGGGUUUUUUCAUUUUUUUGGGGAGUUUUUCCUGUGCCGAUGGUGGGUUUCGGGAUGAGGUCGUUUGUGUACAGACUGUAAAGCCCUCUGAGGCAAAUUUGAAAAGUAAUGUCUAAUUUGUAAUGUAAUGCGAAUGUGUAAUGCGAUUUUGGGCUAUACAAGAUAAAAUGAAUUGAAUUUAACCUACAUUUUAAAUGGUGGUACCUUUAUUCGAGAAACUUCUGGGGGCCAUUAUUGAUUUGAGUUUCACUUGAUCCUCCUAGGGAAUACAGUAUUAAUCCUCUCAGACACAAACCGAUGAGAUGUUGAAAAAUAGACAUGAAUUGUUCAAUUUGUCCAAGUUUUAAUACAAGCUGCUCUGGAAGCAGUGUGCCUAAUAAAUGGCAGCUUACAGAACCUGACAUCAAGGUUUAGGCUGAUGAGUCCAUUCUUUUAAGUGACGAAGCAGACAAAGGAAGAAGCUAAUCCCACUAUCAUCAUCAGCACAUGGAACCAGAUAGAGAAAACAAGAGAAAGGCAGAGAAAGAGAAAUAAGAAAUUAAGAAAGAUGGUAUUUUGGUCAUUGUUUACUGCAAAAUACAGAAAGAGAUACAUACUGCCAUGGCAGAGUGACCUUAGAGAAUACAUUUUCUUUUCACUUUACUCAUAUCAGUAUGGCCAUAUGGGCCUGUUACAAAGAUCAUUGUUGUUGUGAAUAUAAUGAAAUCAAAGCUGUGUUUCGUUAAAAAAUGUUCAUAACCCGAAAGGCAAACAGUUUUAGUAUCCAAAUUAGAGGUGAGAAGUUGUAAAAUGUUGUGUUUGCGGUGAUGACUCCCUCUCCCUGACUCAUCAGGUGCAUUAGUCCUGGAUGUAGGCCGGCUGGCAUAAAUCAUUUCCUCUGCAGUUCGUACUUGUCCUGCUUGCUGGCAGGCCCAAACCACACAGUGAUAGAUGUGCAGAGAAAAGACCAAAAACAUCCUUUGCUAAUAGUGUCGAAAGUCCAAUUGAUCACUUGAUGCUGACUCCAAAAUGAAACUCCAAAUGAAAUCUAAUUGUGUUUACCAUCUGCUGGUCGACAAGAGCUUGUUAUCAAAUUCAUCCUUUGUGGAAUGUGUCCUGAUUUUUGUUCCACUUCAAGUAAAAGCAAUAACACCUUAUUUGCAUUAAUUUUCUGUCUCGUAAUUCUCCCUAUGGAAAUGACUUUUGUGAAUUUUUGAUAUAAAC